UGAAAAAUAGAGGCACAGACGGACAGAGAAGGACAAAUAUAGAGAGAAUGGGAGCAUGGUGGGGGUAAAGGAGGGAGAGAAAUUGAGGGAAACAGAGUGGGAGAGACAGAGGGAGUAGGCAGAGGAGAGGAGGCGGGAGGGAAGGGAUACUGCAUUUUAGUGAUGGCACAGACUGAGGCUGCAGCAGCAGACAGAGAACGAUGAGAGAGGUAGAAAUUAAAAAAGAGCAGCAGUGCAUUGUCAGGGAGAGUACGGCAGGAUUCCAACGCAGACUGUCACAAAAACAUAUUUGGAGAGCCAGCUGUGAGGGUUAAAGAGAGGAAAAAUGGACCAAACUUGCUACAGGGACUGCGGCGAGUGAAAAAGGCAUUUCACCAGUGGGAAGAGGAGAAACUAAGCCUUCUGUAAUCAAAUGAGUAAGACUACUAGCAACAGCAAAAACACAGACAGGAUCAAGCAUUUAAAAGCAGACUCCUGCCUCUGUUGGGAAAAAGUAUGACUGGCUCCUUUUUGUCUUUCUGUUUGACUGUCUAUCCACAGUCUGUCCUUCUGUCUGUGUCAGCAGGAUGAAAAGGCAUCAUUUCAGCGCCUAGGACCUAAAAAAAUGCUGAACAAAUCCUGAUGGUUGUUAGAGAAGCGAGGCACUAAAAAAAAAAGAACAUUUGCAAGCUUCUGGAAGGAAAAGGGAGGAGAGAGCGGUAUGACUCAGAGCACAGCAGCUCAAAUGCCGCGUUUUCUGCAUGCAAGAGGAGAGGUGGAGGGAGAUAGAGGAACAAUGAGGAAGAUAUAAAGCGGGGGGGGAAAAAAUCAGAGAGGACUUGACCAGAAUUGAGCUGUCAUUAGACAGAAGAAGGACAGGAUGAGGACAGAAGUAACCACGCAGGCAGGCAGGCAGUGAGUGAUAUAUAGGCCACGUGAAUCAGGUUGCAAGAGGGAGAGGAAGGCAAGAAGAGGGUGAAUAUAGAAAGUGGAAGGUUUAAUUUGACUGAAGCCAGUUGAGGGAAGGUUGAGUGAAGGUUUGCUGCAGGGUUAGUGGAUGGAGAACUGCAAAAAAGGACAGUAGGAGGGGAUUAAUGAAAGAUUGUUUGAGCUCCUUGCGGGCAAGAAAGUCCUGCGUGGCUGUGUUUUACCUCCAGGAGAGAACCUGGCAGAGGUUUGGAUAUGGAGCAAGUUUCAUGAGGGUUAAAUAGAAGAAGGCAAUGAUGGAGGGUAGAAAGGUUAGAGCAAUAUUGGAAAUACAAUAAAGCACAGAAGGACAGAAAGACGGAGCUGAAGAGAAAACACUGCAGACCAGAGAACAUGAGAUCCAGCGCACAGUGAUGGGGACAUGGAAACUUUAACUGUGACAGCAGCACAGCAAGAGAUUGCUGUUAAAUAUUGAUGCCGAUAGGCCACUCUGGCAAGAACAUGCUACUUGCUCCACAGAGGGGAAAACAGAAGAGAUGCAACUGAUUUCUUUCUCUCUGAGGAGUUUUUACACCAGAAUAGUCAAGCUGAGCGAUAUGAAGCAGAGAUGUUGGCACAAAAUAACAUAAGACAUGCAAAAUAGCCAGGAGUUGGCUUCCUGGAGGUUUUUUGGGCAGCUGUCCAACUUCUUUGGAUUGACUGCAAUGACUUUCUAGAGAAAGGAGGACCUUUAGGAAGAGGACCGAUAUUUGAGCGAUCUCAUGAGGACCACAACAUUUUCUUCUUUUCUACAAGAAGAACACUGAUUUAUAUUUUGGAUUGAAAUGCUUCACCUGCUUCUACAGCGCCAGUCCUGCCAGAUGAGUUAAGCCAACACUGCUGAAGCAUAAAUGAUUUUCUUGUGUGUUUCCUGCAAGGAUUAGAUUUGAGUAUUUGACCAAUAGAAGACUGCUUGAGGAAAUAUGCGAGGAAAUUCUUGGACUGAAUAAAGUCCCACUGCCUCUUGAUCUCUAAACAUUCAGUAACUGCCAUUUCUCCAACCUGAAUUUCUGAUUCCUCAAAACAUCAAAAAACAGCAACACAAUGCCACAAUCUCCAUCCAGCUGCAAAUAGUCCAGCUGUGUGUUUAUGUGAGGCUGCGCAGGGGGUGUGUAAGGACUGUGGAUGUGCUCAGCUGUGUUUGUGGAUAUGCUUGUGUGUGUGUAGUGGUGUGUGUGUGUGUGUUUGCGCUGAGCUUCGAACCCAGCUGUGUCGAAGUGUAUUCUCAAAGAGUUACCCAGAACUGCUUGUGUGUGUGUGUCGCCUGGAUUCUUGGCACCAGCGACAGCGCUGGACCUGAACAGCAGUGGAAAGAGGGGGGACAGGGAGGGGAGGGAGGAGGAGAAGAAGAAGGAGGCGAGAGAAACCAGCAGGACGGUGGAGAAGAAAAAACUGACAGCAUGCUCGGAUAAAGAGAAGAAAGAAAGGAGUCUUCGACUGCCCCCCUGGUGCAAUGUAUGGCGUCACGCCCUGUGGGGGUGGGGUUCUGUGAUGGUAACAAUGGUCCCGGGCAGCCGCUAUGUCUGCAGCGCUCACGCAAGAGAGGAUGACUCCACGAAUGACCGUGAAGAGCGAAUCUUAGCAGUGCUGGGCAUCAUUGGGACCAUUCUCAAUCUUUUAGUGGUCAUAUUUGUCUACAUCUACACCUCCGUCACCUAAGGCUUUCUGCUGGACUUGAGCAUGGAGAUGCUGGCACAAUACUUUUACCAACACUGCCAUCCCUCUCUUUAAGUAUUUCUAUACUAAGAGGGUUUGAUUAUUUGACGUAAGCGCUGACUUAUGAGGAUUGUUGGCAGUUUGAUCAGCUGGAUUGUAACUAUUUUUAUCUACACCUGCAUCUACACUGUUUACUCCUUAAGACAGCUCUGCUCUGCUAGCUAAAGACUGCCUGCAGUCACAGAGGAGGAGCUUCAUGUGGAAUUGCCUGGACGUUCCUGUACUGUUCAUAUUAACUGUGUCAUUUCUUUCCCCACAGCCAUUAUGGCAACAGUGAUAUACUUGUAUUUAUAUUGCUCCAUGACUGUGGGCUAACAUUUAUGGGAUGUCUCAGACAGCAGGAGAGGAGGUCAUGAUUGUCUUCGAUUUAAUGGUGUUCAAAUUUGAAAGCCAUGUUCCUUCCACACUUUUGUGCAAACUUAAAAAAAACCCAAAACACUGCCAUUUAUCUAAAAGGUCACAAAAACAAGACACUUUUGAUUCAACCAGAACAAAUGAGUUGAUAAGAAAGGUAUAUGCUCCUAAAACUAUUACUUGGGACCAAGAUUGUUAAACUAAUUAUUAUCAUUAUCAACAGCGGGAUCCUUUAGCCUAUCUGCUCCCAACACCCAUAAAUCUACUUGAACAGAACAUCGAUACUAACACACAAAUAAUCCAAGCGUCCAGUGAAAUACCACUUUUAUUAAUUAACAGAUUUCUUGAAAAAGUUUUACAUGGACCUGACGUGUCCAUACCUGAGCACACCAGAAGAAAGAUUCCUGGCUGUGCUAGGAGUCAUUGGCAUUGUCCUUAACCUCCUGCUUCUAGUCUUUGUCUAUAUAUACACUUCUAUCUGAUACAUCACAGUUUUUCUGUCAGAAUACAGUGCUGUUUAUCUAUGAUCACAUUCCUCUAACUUACUACAAUGAUCACAUCUUGCAUUAAGGAGGUUAUUUUAUUGCACUUGUCUAAAUUGGUAAACUGUGACAUGGUUUAUAUCGCAUAUGGAGAUUGCAUCUCAUUCUAGUUUGUAAUGGAAAUACAAAAUGUGAAAAUAUUUGCUCUACAGUUGGUUUUUUAUACAGUACUCUUACACAUGUGUGAAUCACGAGAUGUUUACUUAAGCUUAUAUUGCUGUAUUGAAAUACUCUUUAUAACGCUUUGACCAAUAUAACUCAUUGAAGUGUUUCUGUUCAUUCCACACGAUUACCGAUAUUAAAAACACAAAGACAUGAAACUGGAUGACGUUUUAGCCUUUGCAGAAGCUUUGUACAUCAGCAAAGAUCCCUCUGUGCAUAAUUGGGGCCACAAAAUGAUCGUCUGUGUUGUGUUGCCAUGUUUCUGUGAUUGGAUAUGGAAACCAGGCACAGAGCAGCAACACAGAGUGCAAAGCAUGAAAAAGAGACAAUGUCACACAAAUCAAGACUGUGUACUUUUGCAGUGCGACACAAAGGACUACAACAGUGAUAAACAAACUGGUGAGAAACAGCAUGGCUUGUCAGAAAAAAGAGGACAUCAAAUCUCUCUACAAAGCUUCACCAUCUGUCUUGAAACUCGGAAAGGCACAAAAAACUCCCCGGGAUUUGGUUACAACCUGUUCAAUGGAGCUGCAUGUCAUUAUGGAUAUAAUUUUAGGUUUAAGAGCUGUGACUGUAUUGGAGGAGCAAAGCAAAAUGAAGCUGACAAGCAAGCAGGGAGGACUGGCUCGAAUCUACACUUUAUCCUCAUCAUUCUUUUCUCCACCAACAAGCUGACACCAGAGAAGACAUAGUAACACGUGAGUCCCUGCUGUCAUUUCAUAGAGCACAGGAACCAUUUAUUUCCCAAAAUGAAUGACCAGCGACUCUGAGUGCUCUCUUAACUUUCUGAGAUUUCUGUUGGCUUGUGUGGAAAACCUUGAUAUUUUAUAAUUUCUGCAUAUGAUUACUUGUUACACUGUGUAUGUAAGCUCUUAGGUUUAGUAGCAAUUUGACAUUGAGUGUUUUGUUUGGUUUGUUGUCAAGUAAAUCCAAAAGUCACAAUCACUAUACAAGAAAAUGUUUGGAAUGAAACUCAGUGUAGAUGGUUCUGUUGACCACAGUCUAUUUUUAUAAAUUGUACAGGGUUCAGACAAGUGUGCCCACAGCCUAUACUAAAUACUGGAUAAUAAGUGGCCACCACAGACUAGCUCCAAAACUGAGUUAAUCUCCAGGGAGUCCCAUGGUAAAAUGACCAAAUUUACAACAGAAAUGACCAUGUCUGAAUUGUGGGAUUUAAAAAACCCUUCUCUUUAAAAAAGUAAUUGCAUAGGGGUUAUUUUUUAAAAAUAUAUAAUUUACCUGUUUUAAAUUGUAUUAAGGCUUAAAGGCUUAUUAGUGGCACAGCCACUUCGAUUGGCAGGUGUGUGCAGACACUUGCUGCUGUAUCCUGUAGCUGUAUGCUAAGCUUCACCUCUGCUAGCCACAGAAAAGUACCUCUCAAAGUAUAUGUGGUGUUGGUGCCUUUUGGAAUAUUUUUAAUGCAACUAUCUGACAAAUAACAUGGCUUAUUGAGAAGUUGAUUACUAACAGCUGUCAAAGAAAUCCACGCUGCAAUUUAAGUGAGCGAUAUUCUAGCAUUUUGUUGUACUAUGCACUACUUUGCAAGUAUCUGUGUAUGUGUUAUGCACCCAUACAGUCUAUGGAUGCACCUUGCUAACCAAGCUUGCUAGCCUUAGCUGUAUUACGCCACCCUCUCAUCCAAACAUGGUCACUUAUGGCCAAGGAAAAUGUAUGUGUUGGCAACCAGAAAGCUAAAACCAAGGCUUUAAAAUGGAACUUCACGAACCAAUGAAUGAUUUCAUGGUGGUUACAUCAAUCUUUCACAUGCGGUGAAGAAAAUUCAUUUAAAGAUGCAUAAGCAACUCACAUGAGAACUCUCUGAACUUCUCACUUGCACAUUUACGCUUACACAGAUUAUGAUUAGUAUGUCUUUUCUUGCAAACCCCUCACUGCAUUUUCCCCUGACCUCAAGUAGCACAUCAAACUCUUUCUGCAACAUUAUAACUGGAGGCUAUAACCUAUAACCUGUUUAAUUAUGUUACUGUUUCUUGCCCUGUUCAUUGUGUAAUCAAUGGAAUCAAUGGACUACCUAUAAUAAUAAAACCUACAUUUUAAUAAACUGA